rnacentral:lncRNA from 1 species
AGUAAAAGCCGUUUUAAUCAACUCUCAAACUGGUAACAAUCUGUGUUGGAAAGGACAUGGGGCAUAGGCACCCAAUUCCAAAACUAGUAGAGAUAUUAACUGCCCUCCAGAAAAGAUGAACCUGGCAUACAGUAUGUAUCAUACCCAAAAACCUCGUAAAUUUCUCCAUACACUGAGACCCUGUAAUUCUACAGCAUUGUCCUAGGGUACUAGGAUCGUUACACAAAAACAUGUAAUGAAGGAGAUAUCACAGGGUUAUUACAAUGGAGUUAUAGGUAGCCAGUUCUAAAGUGUGUGUGUGUGAGAGAGUAAAAUCUUCAGUGAAAGAGAUCUUCAAGAAGGAGGCAGUAGACCUCUAGAUCCAGAAUGCUUGACUUUGAAUCCCAGCUUUUUAAAUCAUUAGCUGUGUGAACUUGAAUAAAUUACUUAACAUUUCUGUGUCUGGAAUAAUGGUAUGUAUCCCAGAGGAUUACAGAUUAGUAAGAUUAUGUAUUCACAGUACUGUAUAUUAUUUGUUGUAUGAAGUCUGGAGGGAUACAGAAUAGCAUGUAGUUUGAGUCCACUUUUGAGGGAUACAGAAUAGCAUGUAGUUUGAGUCCACUUUUGUAGGAGAAAAUAUACAAAGUUAUACAUAGGCUUCUAACAAAACCUGCAAGGCUAUAUGCUAAAAUGUUAACAGUAUUUAUCUAUGGCUAGUGGCAUUGACAAAUUAGGUUUUAACAAAUGCUUUUCUGUUGUAGACUUGAUUUUUUUCUUAAACAUUCAACAUACAUUGCUUUUAUAAUUGGAAAAUAAUUCUUAACAGCUGCUGUCAGGAGAAGAAAAGAAGAAAAAGAUAAUUCUACUUAAAAUUAACUCUUAGGGUUGGGCAGUUGGAGCAGUGUUUCCUGUAAAUGUAGCUUCAUAAGAUCUGGUCCUAUAUGAAAGUUUAAAUGUAGCUUCUGUAAGAUCUGGCCCUAUAUGGAACCAGAACUGAAGAGCUUGACUUGGGGUCAGACACUGCAACUUGAUUCAAGUCCCUUCAUCAGGAGGAAAGUUCCCUAGGUGAACUGCCAACUUCUGCUGCAAGGCCCUGAGAACUUGAAGCUGACAAGUGUUGUUGGGUUCCUUCCUGCCCAGCUGAGCUCCAAAGCUGUGAGAGCUUAGCUGCUGUUUACCUCUUGAGGCUGAAGUCUUCAGAGACAAAUUAAGUGCCUGCCUUGAAUAUGAACAGGCCUGGGUUGGAGCUUCACCUACCACACACACCUGAGUAUUUUGGGGCAAGUCACUUAACCUCAUUUGAGGCUAUUUCCACAGCUGUGUAAAAUGAGGAAAUAACUACUUUUGAUUAUUGAGACAUUUGUGGAAAAUGACACAGUAAUGCACUAUGUGUGAAUUAUUUUCCCUCUCUGGGCCUGUUUCCUCACCUUUAAAAUGGGGGAAAUUAGUACUUCAUAAGGUUAUGAGGAUUAAACUAGGAAAAGUCAAGAUUGAGUGCUGAAUAAAUGAGAUACUAUUUUACUAAGGAUCAUCUCCCUGUACCAAGAGCACUCCACUUGCUCCCAAGAAUAGCCAAGGCCAUCUUUUUCUUAGGAGAAAGGGUAGGGCUGGAGGUUUCCCCAGGGAUCCAACUCCAGAACUCUGCAGAGAUGGGCCUGCACUACAAGGCCUCUGAGACUUCAGUCUGCACACUCUGUUCUUUCGCCUGAUGCUCCACCUUUUGGAAGCCAAAGCUGCCAACUUGGCCUCUUGCAAAACACACAUUCCAUUCAUAAGUGCGUUUGUGCAUUUUUCCUCCCACACCCUUCUAGGCAGCCAGUGCAGAGCUGCCAAGGCAGCUGCUGGAGAAGCAGCUUCUUAUGGAGGAAAAGCAACUCCAAGGGCUUUUACAGAACUCAUGGUUUAGGCUUUGAACACAUUACUCCCAUUUUCU